rnacentral:rRNA from 1 species
UUUUUUGUGGAGAGUUUGAUCCUGGCUCAGGACGAACGCUGGCGGCGUGCUUAACACAUGCAAGUCGAACGGAAAGGCCCCUUCGGGGGUACUCGAGUGGCGAACGGGUGAGUAACACGUGGGUGAUCUGCCUCGUACUCUGGGAUAAGCCUGGGAAACUGGGUCUAAUACUGGAUAGGACCACAUUUUAGUGUGUGUGGUGGAAAGUUUUUUCGGUACGAGAUGAGCCCGCGGCCUAUCAGCUUGUUGGUGGGGUAAUGGCCUACCAAGGCGUCGACGGGUAGCCGGCCUGAGAGGGUGGACGGCCACAUUGGGACUGAGAUACGGCCCAGACUCCUACGGGAGGCAGCAGUGGGGAAUAUUGCACAAUGGGCGCAAGCCUGAUGCAGCGACGCCGCGUGAGGGAUGACGGCCUUCGGGUUGUAAACCUCUUUCGACAGGGACGAAGCUUUUUGUGACGGUACCUGUAUAAGAAGCACCGGCUAACUACGUGCCAGCAGCCGCGGUAAUACGUAGGGUGCGAGCGUUGUCCGGAAUUACUGGGCGUAAAGAGCUCGUAGGUGGUUUGUCGCGUCGUCUGUGAAAUUCCGGGGCUUAACUCCGGGCGUGCAGGCGAUACGGGCAUAACUUGAGUGCUGUAGGGGAGACUGGAAUUCCUGGUGUAGCGGUGGAAUGCGCAGAUAUCAGGAGGAACACCGAUGGCGAAGGCAGGUCUCUGGGCAGUAACUGACGCUGAGGAGCGAAAGCAUGGGGAGCGAACAGGAUUAGAUACCCUGGUAGUCCAUGCCGUAAACGGUGGGCGCUAGGUGUGAGGGUCUUCCACGACUUUCGUGCCGUAGCUAACGCAUUAAGCGCCCCGCCUGGGGAGUACGGCCGCAAGGCUAAAACUCAAAGGAAUUGACGGGGGCCCGCACAAGCGGCGGAGCAUGUGGAUUAAUUCGAUGCAACGCGAAGAACCUUACCUGGGCUUGACAUAUACAAGAUCGGCGUAGAGAUACGUUAUCCCUUGUGGUUUGUAUACAGGUGGUGCAUGGUUGUCGUCAGCUCGUGUCGUGAGAUGUUGGGUUAAGUCCCGCAACGAGCGCAACCCUUGUCUUAUGUUGCCAGCACGUUAUGGUGGGGACUCAUGAGAGACUGCCGGGGUUAACUCGGAGGAAGGUGGGGAUGACGUCAAAUCAUCAUGCCCCUUAUGUCCAGGGCUUCACACAUGCUACAAUGGUCGGUACAACGCGUUGCGAGCCUGUAAGGGUAAGCGAAUCGCUGAAAGCCGGCCUCAGUUCGGAUUGGGGUCUGCAACUCGACCCCAUGAAGUCGGAGUCGCUAGUAAUCGCAGAUCAGCAACGCUGCGGUGAAUACGUUCCCGGGCCUUGUACACACCGCCCGUCACGUCAUGAAAGUUGGUAACACCCGAAGCCCAUGGCCCAACCAGUUUUCUGGGGGGAGUGGUCGAAGGUGGGAUCGGCGAUUGGGACGAAGUCGUAACAAGGUAGCCGUACCGGAAGGUGCGGCUGGAUCACCUCCUUUCUAAGGAG